rnacentral:rRNA from 1 species
AUUGAACGCUGGCGGCAUGCCUUACACACGCAAGUCGAACGGCAGCACGGGCUUCGGUCUGGUGGCGAGUGGCGAACGGGUGAGUAAUGUAUCGGAACGUACCCUUCAGUGGGGGAUAACUAUCCGAAAGGAUAGCUAAUACCGCAUAUUCUCUGAGGAGGAAAGCGGGGGAUCGCAAGACCUUGCGCUGAUGGAGCGGCCGAUUCCAGAUUAGCUAGUUGGUGGGGUAAAGGCCUACCAAGGCGACGAUCGGUAGCGGGUCUGAGUGGAUGAUCCGCCACACUGGAACUGAGACACGGCCCAGACUCCUACGGGAGGCAGCAGUGGGGAAUUUUGGACAAUGGGGGCAACCCUGAUCCAGCCAUGCCGCGUGAGUGAAGAAGGCCUUCGGGUUGUAAAGCUCUUUCGGCCGGGAAGAAAUCGCGUGAGUUAAUACCUUGCGUGGAUGACGGUACCGGAAUAAGAAGCACCGGCUAACUACGUGCCAGCAGCCGCCGUAAUAC